rnacentral:tRNA from 1 species
GGCAGCGUGGUCUAGUAGUUAGAGCACCGGACUGGGACGCCGGAGAUUUGGGUUCUUCUGUUCCUAGCUUUGCCA